rnacentral:lncRNA from 1 species
GUUUUGAGAGGUUUUCUUUAAUGUUGGAGGUGUAGGCCAUCGUCAAGCCAUCUGGAUCAGUUCUGGUCUUAUUUGCUAGUUCGUCGGCAAUUUCGUUACCAUAUAUUCCUGAGUGGCUUGGGAUCCAGAGAAAGGUGACUUGCGUUCCUGCUGAUUUUAAGUUUUUUAUUAAUUCAAUGAUUUCAGGAAUUAGUGAGCUGGCUUCCCAUUUAAAGUGUGUGACGGCUUGAAUUGCUGACUUGGAGUCAGUUAUGAUUAUAAUAUCUUGCCAGUCGAGGAUGAAAAAAGCGCAGGAUGAAACUUUUUCGAGUUGGUGACACGAUCCAUCUGUGAAUACGGAGAGGGCUGAGUCUGCUGCAUUUUCAGUGAAUCUCCUGAAUAAUUCUUGAUUUGGCGAUUUUGUAGAGCAGGCCCGUGAUCCAGGUGUCGUCAUACGCUUUGGCGAGGUCGAGGAAGAUAGCUGUUGUGGUGUGGUUUUGGUUGAAUCCACUUUUAAUGGCUGCUUCUAAUUGGAUGAGGUUGUCUGAAGUGGUGCAUCCCCGUCGGAAUCCAGUCUGGUGUUUGGUUUUGCCAGGCAGGAGGUCAGGGAAAUCGGACGGUACGAGUCGGCGUUUUCUGGUGCUUUCCCAGGCUUUAGGAUUGGGGUUACUGUCGCGUUCUUCCAUGCAUUCGGUAUGUAUCCUGAUUGAAAGGUGUAGUUUAA